UACGUAGGAGCCUAGCGUUGUCCGGAUUUACUGGGCUUAAAGGGCGCGUAGGCGGCCUUUUAAGUCAGUGGUGAAAGCCUGCAGCUUAACUGUAGAAUUGCCAUUGAAACUGAUUGUCUCGAGUGCGGUUGAGGUCACUGGAAUGUAUCAUGUAGCGGUGAAAUGCUUAGAUAUGAUACAGAACACCAAUUGCGAAGGCAGGUGACUAAACCGUAACUGACGCUGAGGCACGAAAGCGUGGGGAUCAAACAGG
rnacentral:rRNA from 1 species